CGAGUGGAUUGAGUAGCUGCGGGUACAGUCUCGAAAGGGCGUAUCCGAGGAAAGUCCGAGCUUCACAGAGCAAGAAUAACGGCUAACAGCCGCCGGGGGCGACCCUAGGGAUAGUGCAACAGAAAUAAACCGCCUCUUUUGAGGUAAGGAUGGAAAGGCGAGGUAAGAGCUCACCGGAGUUAAGGAGACUUAACUGCCCUGUAAACCCUAUUCGAAGCAACACCGUGGAGGGACAUUGACGCUUGCUCGGCGGUCCCGGGGAGGUGGCACCGAGCUUAGUGGUAACACUAAGCCAAGAUAGAUAGCUGCUUUUAACAGAAUUCGGCUUAUAGAUUCAGUCGCUGA
rnacentral:RNase_P_RNA from 1 species